GUCUCUGUGGCGCAAUUGGGACAGUGCGUUCCGCUGUUAACCGAAAGGUUGGUGGUUCGAGCCCACCCAGGGACG